rfam:Methylotenera versatilis 301, complete genome.
UUUCCGCUUCUUUCCUCCCUGAGCGGAAGCCUUAGACAAUAAGGCAUUUCGCCCCAACUCUUUCCCCUUUGAGUUGGGGCUUUUUUUU